GAUGAACGCUGGCGGCGUGCUUAACACAUGCAAGUCGAACGAUGAAGCCCAGCUUGCGGGGUGGUGUAGUUGCGAACGGGCGAGUAACACGUGAGUAACCUGCCCUUGUCUCUGGGAUAAGCCUGUUAAACUGGGUCUAGUACUUGAUAGGACUUCUCAUCACCUGGAUGGGUGUGGAGAGAUUGACUGGUCUUGGAUGGACUCGCGGCCUAUCAGCUUGUUGGUGAGGUAAUGGCACACCAAGGCCACGACGGGUAGCCGGCCUGAGAGGGUGACCGGCGACACUGGGACUGAGAGACGGCGCAGACUCCUACGGGAGGCAGCAGUGGGGAAUCUUGCACAAUGGGCGCAAGCCUGAUGCAGCGACGCCGCGUGAGGGAUGACGGCCUUCGGGUUGUAAACCUCUUUCAGUAGGGAAGAAGCGAGAGUGACGGUACCUGCAGAAGAAGCGACGGCUAACUACGUG
rnacentral:rRNA from 1 species